rnacentral:lncRNA from 1 species
CAUUGUUAAAAUCCAGAAUAGUUAAAGACAAUUUAAAUUUCAAAAACUUUAAACGCAGAAUAAAUAAUUGUGGACGACGCCGAAGAAAUGUAAGAUCGCUAUGUCUCGCUUUUUCGACUAAGGUCGAAGGCUCGACAAACAUGAACCAAAUGAACUCUUAUUAUUCACGCCACGUGUUUACUCACUCCUAACAUCAAUCUAUACAGGGCCCCAAAAUGACUAAUUCAAAAAGCAAAAUCAAUAGUCUUAUCAGAACAAAUAAUAAAAAAAA